rnacentral:rRNA from 1 species
UACGAAGGGGGCUAGCGUUGCUCGGAAUCACUGGGCGUAAAGCGCACGUAGGCGGGUUGUUAAGUCGGGGGUGAAAUCCUGGAGCUCAACUCCAGAACUGCCUUUGAUACUGGGAAUCUCGAGUCCGGGAGAGGUGAGUGGAACUGCGAGUGUAGAGGUGAAAUUCGUAGAUAUUCGCAAGAACACCAGUGGCGAAGGCGGCUCACUGGCCCGGUACUGACGCUGAGGUGCGAAAGCGUGGGGAGCAAACAGG